CUCCAGUAAAGCUCCUCCAGGAAAAGGGAAUCUGACUCUGCCACCAUUCACUAGGCAGCACCUGCUCUAAAACCUGCCGCAUCUGGCCCUCGGUUGUGUUUCCUAGACCCCUCUUGUAGUGGCUACCUGCCCAGCAAAUAAGCUCCAGUAAAGCUCCUCCAGGAAAAGGGAAUCUGACUCUGCCACCAUUCACUAGGCAGCACCUGCUCUAAAACCUGCCGCAUCUGGCCCUCGGUUGUGUUUCCUAGACCCCUCUUGUAGUGGCUACCUGCCCAGCAAAUAAGCUCCAGUAAAGCUCCUCCAGGAAAAGGGAAUCUGACUCUGCCACCAUUCACUAGGCAGCACCUGCUCUAAAACCUGCCGCAUGUAUGUACUUUUAGUACCACUACUUGUUUGUCACAAGACAACG